UGGGGAAUAUUGGACAAUGGGCGAAAGCCUGAUCCAGCCAUGCCGCGUGAGUGACGAAGGCCUUAGGGUUGUAAAACUCUUUCGUCGGGGACGAUAAUGACGGUACCCGAAGAAGAAGCUCCGGCUAACUUCGUGCCAGCAGCCGCGGUAAUACGAAGGGAGCUAGCGUUGUUCGGAAUCACUGGGCGUAAAGCGCACGUAGGCGGAUAGUUAAGUCAGAUGUGAAAUCCCCGGGCUUAACCUGGGAACUGCGUUUGAAACUGAGGGGCUAGAGUGUGGAAGAGGGGGGUGGAAUUCCAGGUGUAGCAGUGAAAUGCGUAGAGAUCUGGAGGAACACCGAUGGCGAAGGCAGCCCCCUGGGCUAACACUGACGCUCAUGCACGAAAGCGUGGGGAGCAAACAGGAUUAGAUACCCACGUAGUCCCUGAGCGGGCUGGCAAGGCGCAU
rnacentral:rRNA from 1 species